GAUGAACGCUAGCUACAGGCUUAACACAUGCAAGUCGAGGGGCAUCACAGUGUAGCAAUACACGGGUGGCGACCGGCGCACGGGUGCGUAGCACGUAUCCAAUCUGCCCGUUACUCGGGGAUAGCCUUCUGAAAGGAAGAUUAAUACCCGAUGGCAUGUAUUUCCGGCAUCGGAGAUACAUUAAAGAUUUAUCGGUAACGGAUGAGGAUGCGUACGAUUAGCUUGUUGGCGGGGUAACGGCCCACCAAGGCUACGAUCGUUAGGGGUUCUGAGAGGAAGGUCCCCCACACUGGAACUGAGACACGGUCCAGACUCCUACGGGAGGCAGCAGUGAGGAAUAUUGGUCAAUGGUCUGACGACUGAACCAGCCAUGCCGCGUGAAGGUCACGGCCCUAUGGGUCUUAAACUUCUUUUGCGAGGGAGCAAUAAGGCGCACGUGUGCGUCGAUGAGAGUACCUCGCGAAUAAGCAUCGGCUAACUCCGUGCCAGC
rnacentral:rRNA from 1 species